CGUGUUGCAGCCAGUGAGCGGAACAUCUCUGUCACGGAACUGCCGUGCCAUUGGCUUCUCCCGGGAAGCCGCCGCCGACAGUCCGUGAGGCGACACACUGGGAGGGAUGGUCCCGGGCUGAGUCCACUGCGAGCCGGGCUCAGAGGCGCAGACCGUCGGAACAACGUGGCUCCGCUGCCUGCAGCCGCACUGGGUGACAUUUUGCACAUUUCAGUCGCCGACUCGAGACGCCUGACACCGGCUCACCUCAUGAUUUCAUCCUGAUAAAAAGCUCCCGCGAGGCACAGCAGUUUCUCCAUGGCGUCUCCACAACAGUCAAGGAUUCAGUCGUAUCUGGAGAAGAAUAAAAUCGGACCCUUGUUUGAGGAGUUGAUGACCAAAUUGAUAACUGAGACUCCCGACCAUCCAAUCCCUUUUCUCAUUGAUCACCUGCAGACCAAGCAAGACAGCCCGGGCAAGCUGCACAGAGCUCUGUCUGGCUCCGCAGCACUGUGGGCGCAGAGCUCCCCAGAAAGCAAAAACCCUCGAAGGGAAAACAGCAACUAUGAGAAGCCGUGGCAAAUCCAUCCAAAGAAACCGAAAAAGUCCAAGAGCGACCUGGCAGUUUCCUGUAUGUCCCCCCCGUCUCCAGAGUCCAAGUCCUUGCCUCGGUCAAUCGAGUGCCCGUCCUGGGACUGGAGGGAGAGCCGCGACUUUGACGAGCUCAACCACAUCCUGCAGGAGAGCAAGAAGCUGGGCAAGGCUCUGGAGAGUCUGUCACGCAGUAUCGCCAUCUCUGACGAGCUCGACCAGAACUUGGGCGGCUAUAACUCAGUGGUGCGCCCUCGGGUGGUGGGGGAGUGGGUCGGUCGGGAAGAAGAAGACGCAGACCCGCUGGCUUCUGAGAUGCUGCAGCCCCCCGUCCCUCGGGCUAAAACUGAAGUGUGCUGGAGUGGAGACAGCAGCCCUGCUGGGAGCCUGAAGGUGGAAACAAAGAGCAAAGGUUUAAAGGAGCAGCAGCAGCAUCACAAGAAGCUCCUGGCAGCCAUGUUGUCCCAGGACUCCUUUGAUUCACUGCACAGCCCUGCUCCCUCCGGCGCAGAGGAAGAGAUGGAGGACGAGGACGAUGCCAUGGAGCUUCUGGAGGACCUGGACGACCUGAGGAUGGAGGGCGUGACGGGUUUGGCUCCAUCCGGCAGUAAGUUCAGCCAGGGACGCAGCUCCUAUCAGGCUGAGCCGCAGGCCAAAGUCACACUCAACAUCUGCUCCAGGUGUGCCAGGCUGCAGGGCAACAGCCUAUCAGACGGCCGACCUGAAGAGGAGUACAGGACUCGCACAUCUGAGCAGGCCGUGCCUGACAUCUCCUCUCCACUCCCCGGGGUGGACGCAGUGGCGGGACGUUUGCAGGAAUGCGAGGCCUCGUCUCAGGUGUCAGGCUCUCGUCAGGCUGUCUGGGAGGCUGAUCUGAAGGCUGCGAGAGGCGGGAGCUGUGGGGGGCCGACGGGCCCGCUGCUGGGGGACGCCCUCUUCUCUCAAGAGCUGGAGAACAUGGGCAAACAGCUGGCGGAGGUUGAGAAGGACUUGGCCAAGCUGGCAGAAGUGGGGAAGAUGACCAGUCGGAGCUCCAAUAAUCCGCUCAGUCUGCUGCACACGCCGCUGCGCCACCGAACACUCCCCGACACGCUUCCUCUCACCAGCCUGCUCUCCAGACCCGGCUCUCCAGCCGGCAGCAUCUCAGGCAAGCCCUGCGGCGUGGGCCUCCCUCUGCUCAGCCCCAAGCCCACCUCCAUGACCAUGGGCCGAUCUCCAUCUCCCAGCAACUCCGGGAGCAGGACUCAAACCCCCAGGACGCCCAGCAGGCCGCUGACCCCCAACAGUUUACUGACGCGCUCCAGCUUUAACACUGGAUCUCAUAAAGAGGUGACCUUCAGGAGGUCGCGGAGCCGCCCUGUGACGCCCACGUGUCAGCCUGCACGCCCCCGAGCGCUGCUCACCCCCCCGGGGCUCAGCACCACAGACAGCCUCGGUGCCAGCCUGCGGGCUUAUCUGUCUGAGGAUGAGUUUUACCAGCAGCUCCAGGCCAUCCGACAGCCCUGGCAUGUUCCCAGUGACACAGACAGCGACAUCCUGGAGCCUCCGGAACAGGAUAACAGUGGUGCUCGAGAUGCCAAUAAGAGAUCUGUGUUUUCAGGCUAAGCGGAGGGCACGGUGGCUCUGAAAUGACUGGUGGAGGCCGGCCCUGUGUGCAGACGGGAGCGCCUGUUCCAUUAAGCCUUUAGUGACGAAGACCAGACUUUGAUCCAAUCAAACUAUUAUGCAAACCACUGGACAUUUUGAAUAUAAGUGUACAGAGUCAAUUAUUUUUAUACUUCAUGUGAAUGGGGGGGAAAAAAGAUUGUAUACUUUUUUCACAGAUAUUUCAUAAACAUUGUACUGUAACUAUGAUAAAAACGUCAAAAUAUAACUUGAGAGUAUGGAAUAUAACAUUUAUUUUUGUUUGCUCUAUAGCAUGCUGUUGCACUUCCAUGUGGGGUCCAGAGACUCUGUUAGGCCUCGUGCACAUUCACAUUGUGAGGGCAUUGUUAGGAAAGUGUUUGUUGAUAUGCACUGUUAAAAAAGAUGUAGUGAUUUUCAAAUAGCAAAUACGCAAGUAGUGGAGGGAAAACAAGGAAUGCUGUUAUAUCAAUUAAAAUGAUU